UGAGUUGGCUCAGUGGUUAGAGCGUAGGUUUCGUAACCGAAAGGUUGUGCGGAAUCGAAUCCCGCUAGAGGCUCAA
rnacentral:tRNA from 1 species